rnacentral:pre_miRNA from 1 species
CACUUUAAACAUCGUUACCAGACAGUGUUAGAAAACAUAAAAUAAAUCCAGCACUGUCUAGUAAGAUGUCCAUAGAG